AAAUUAGAAUUUAUCACUCAGUAAAAGAGGAAGGGUAAAUUAGGAUUUAUCACUCAGUAAAAGAGGAAAGGUAAAUUAGAAUGUGUCACUCAGUAAAAGAGGAAGGGUAAAUUAGAAUGUGUCACUCAGGAAAAGAGGAAAGGUAAAUUAGAAUGUGUCACUCAGUAAAAGAGGAAGGGUAAGUUAUUAGAAUGUGUCACUCAGUAAAAGAGGAAGGGUAAAUUAGAAUUUAUCACUCGGUAAAAGAGGAAAGGUUUAUUAGAAUGUGUCACUCAGUAAAACAGGAAGGGUAAAUUAGAAUUUAUCACUCGGUAAAAGAGGAAAGGUUAAUUAGAAUGUGUCACUCAGUAAAAGAGGAAAGGUAAAUUAGAAUUUAUCACUCAGUAAAAGAGGAAAGAUAAAUUAGAAUGUAUCACUCAGUAAGAGAGGAAAGGUAAAUUAGAAUUUAUCACUCAGUAAAAGAGGAAAGGUAAAUUAGAAUUUAUCACUCAGUAAAAGAGGAAAGGUAAAUUAGAAUGUGUCACUCAGUAAAAGAGGAAGGGUAAGUUAGAAUGUGUCACUCAGUAAGAGAGGAAAGGUAAAUUGAAAUGUGUCACUCAGUAAAAGAGGAAAGGUAAAUUAGAAUGUGUCACUCAGUAAAAGAGGAAAGGUAAAUUAGAAUGUGACAAUCAGUAAAAGAGGAAAGGUAAAUUAGAAUGUGACAAUCAGUAAAAGAGGAAGGGUAAAUUAGAAUGUGUCACUCAGUAAAAGAGGAAAGGUAAAUUAGAAUGUGUCACUCAGUAAAAGAGGAAGGGUAAAUUGGAAUGUGUCACUCAGUAAAAGAGGAAGGGUAAAUUAGAAUUUAUCACUAAGUAAAAGAGGAAAGGUAAAUUAGAAUUUAUCGCUCAGUAAAAGACGAAAGGUAAAUUGGAAUGUGUCACUCAGUAAAAGAGGAAAGGUAAAUUAGAAUGUGUCACUCAGUAAAAGACGAAAGGUAAAUUAGAAAGUGUCACUCAGUAAGAGAGGAAGGGUAAAUUGGAAUGUGUCACUCAGUAAAAGAGGAAAGGUAAAUUAGAAUGUGUCACUCAGUAAAAGAGGAAAGGUAAAUUAGAAUGUGUCACUCAGUAAGAGAGGAAAGGUAAAUUGAAAUGUACCACUCGUUACGAGAUGUAAGGUAAAUUAGAAUGAGAGGAAAGGUAAAUUAGAUUAAGAAGGUAAAUUAGACAGUAUCACUCAGUUGGACAGGAAAGGUAAAGUAGAAUGAGAGGAAAGUUAAAUUGGAAUGUAUCGCUCAGUAAGAGAGGAAAGGUAAGUUAGAAUGUAUCACUCAGUAAGAGAGGAAACGUAAAUUAGAAAGAGAGGAAAGGUAAGUAAGAAAGGGAGGAAAGAUAAAUUAGAAUGUAUCACUCAGUAAGAGAGGAAAGGUAAGUUAGAAUGUAUCACUCAGUAAGAGAGGAAAGGUAAAUAAGAAAGAGAGGAAAGGUAAAUUAGAAAGGGAGGAAAGAUAAAUUAGAAUGUAUCACUCAGUAAGAGAGGAAAGGUAAAUAAGAAAGAGAGGAAAGGUAAAUUAGAAAGGGAGGAAAGAUAAAUUAGAAUGUAUCACUCAGUAAGAGAGGAAAGGUGAAUUAUAAUGUAUCACUCAGUAAUGGAGGAAAGGUAAAUUAGAAAGAGAGGAAA